rnacentral:rRNA from 1 species
UACGAGGGGGGCAAGCGUUGUUCGGAAUUACUGGGCGUAAAGGGUUCGUAGGUGGCCUACUAAGUCGGACGUGAAAUCCCUCAGCUUAACUGGGGAACUGCGUCUGGUACUGGGGGGCUUGAGGACAGGAGAGGAACGCGGAAUUCCAGGUGUAGCGGUGAAAUGCGUAGAUAUCUGGAGGAACACCGGUGGCGAAGGCGGCGUUCUGGACUGUUUCUGACACUGAGGAACGAAAGCCAGGGGAGCAAACGGG